rnacentral:rRNA from 1 species
UACGUAGGGUGCAAGCGUUGUCCGGAAUUAUUGGGCGUAAAGAGCUCGUAGGCGGUCUGUUGCGUCGGCUGUGAAAACCCGGGGCUCAACCCCGGGCCUGCAGCCGAUACGGGCAGACUAGAGUUCGGCAGGGGAGACUGGAAUUCCUGGUGUAGCGGUGAAAUGCGCAGAUAUCAGGAGGAACACCGGUGGCGAAGGCGGGUCUCUGGGCCGAAACUGACGCUGGGGAGCGAAAGCGUGGGGAGCGAACAGG